UUUCUCACUUUUCAUUAAUUCUAGGCCCACUAUUAACUUAUGCAACUCUUUAGAUCUCCCCAGUGGAGGUGGUCUUAAGUACUCUUAAUGUAUCUCUCUCUUCUUUUAUUUUUAUUUUUAUUUUUUAAAAUAGAUGAAAUAGGUUUAGCACUUCAAUAAGUACCAUUGGUGGAGAUGGUCUUAGAGCAUUUCCACUUAAGCAACCACGAAUGGGUGCUUAAAAUUAAAUGCCUAAUAUAAGUAUCAUUAAGCUAAUCAAAAUCAGUCAAUUAACACCUUUAAACAAAUAACCCUUGC
rnacentral:lncRNA from 1 species